GUGGAUGAACAGUUACAAAGAUAGAAUGAUGGAUGGAUGGACAGAUACAAAGACAGAAUGAUGGAAUGAUGGAUGGAUAGAUGGAUGAACAGAUACAAAGAUAAAAUGAUGGUCGGAUGGACAGAUACAAAGACAGAAUAAUGGAUGGAUGGAUGGACGGAUGGUUUGAUGAAGAGAUACAAAGACAGAAUGAUGGAUGGAUAGGUGGAUGGAUGGAUGAAUGGACAGAUAGAAAGAUAGAAUGAUGGACAGAUGAAUGGAUGAAAGCUACAAAGACAGAAUGAUAGAUAGAUAGAUAGAUAGAUAGAUAGAUAGAUAGUAAAUUCCACUUCCACUCCUGUGCUCUUGAUUAAUCAAGUUGUCAGGAUUCUGUGUGUCGAGAGCAGGAGGAAUGAGGAGGAAUGAACUAAUAUUUCAGAUUGGCACACUAAUGAGACCCUGGUGAUGGAGAGAGACAGAUAGAGAGCUCUAUUAUUCACACUCAAGAGAUUAUGUAACAGGAGCUGAGAGUGAGCUAUGAGUUUAUCCAUCUUUUCUCUCAUCUUCGGCUCUAAAACUCUUUCCUCUUCCAUCCAACUAAUAAGUUUAUCUCAGACUAUGUUCCAAGUAAAUAGCCUCACUGUCUUCUGUCUACAAAAUAGGAUAACUGCUAAGUAAGUUGGUGUUUUAAGUAGGACGUAGGGUGGCCAUCGAUCUGGUUCUAGGUCGGACAGACCAGAUUUGAAAUACCAUGUCCAUCUACCAGUGCAGGCGUGAGCCGGAUGCUCAUUUGUCAUUCUUUCUUUCCUUUGUUGAACACAAAAGAAGAUAUUUUGAAGCAUGUUGGGAAACAAACAGUUGCUAACAGCUACUGACUUCCAUUGCACCCCCCCCCCCCCCAGUUGGAACAACUUGAGGAUGAGUAAAUGAUGAAUUUUUUUUAUUUUGGGUGAACUAUCCCUUUAAGAUUGAAUGCCAUUCAUUCAAUCAGUAUUUCACCAUUCAUUGCAUCUCUGAUCAACAUGUGGAUGUGUUGUUCCUGAUCAAUUCACUGUUUUUGAGUCAAUAAUUCAAUAAGCCGGCAUUCAUAAAUGCAUCUAAAUGCCACUUCAGAUGCAGCUUCUGUGUCACCUCUGCAAUGCAAAGAUGGAUUUUGUUUAUAUUAAUUUUAUUUGAUUGGCAUUCACCCUUAAGUGUCUUAUUAUCCAAAUUGCAUUUAAUGAGUAAAUCUAAAAAUCUACACUGCUGUUCAAAAGUUUGAGAUCGAUGUUGGAAACAGU
ensembl:lncRNA